rnacentral:pre_miRNA from 1 species
AGUUAAAAAUUUUAUUCAUUUGUACUAUUAAAAAUUGACGUGACUGAUGGAAUAAUCAUGUGUACCUCAUUCUAAUGUAUAAAGAUCAAUUUUUAACAUUAGAAAUGAAUGAAAUUUUUAACA